GAUGCCCCUUGAGGCGUUGCAGCCCAACUGUUACCGUUGGCAGCUGUGUCAUAAGGUGGCAAAGAGCAUGGGUGGUGUUCUCCACUGAGACUCUACAUCACACGGAUGUCUCAGAAUUAUUUCACCACCAACACU
ensembl:snoRNA small nucleolar RNA SNORA17